rnacentral:rRNA from 1 species
GUGCUAAUACCGCAUACGCCCUGAGGGGGAAAGUGGGGGAUCGCAAGACCUCACGUUAUUCGAGCGGCCGACGUCUGAUUAGCUAGUUGGUGGGGUAAUGGCUCACCAAGGCGACGAUCAGUAGCGGGUCUGAGAGGAUGAUCCGCCACACUGGAACUGAGACACGGUCCAGACUCCUACGGGAGGCAGCAGUGGGGAAUUUUGGACAAUGGGGGCAACCCUGAUCCAGCCAUUCCGCGUGAGUGAAAAAGGCCUUCGGGUUGUAAAGCUCUUUCAGCUGGAACGAAACGGUAUUCACUAAUAUUGGAUGCUAAUGACGGUACCAGCAGAAGAAGCACCGGCUAACUACGUGCCAGCAGCCGCGGUAAUACGUAYGGUGCGAGCGUUAAUCGGAAUUACUGGGCGUAAAGCGUGCGCAGGCGGAUUGUUAAGCAAGAUGUGAAAUCCCCGGGCUUAACCUGGGAAUGGCAUUUUGAACUGGCAGUCUAUAGUGUGUCAGAGGGGGGUGGAAUUCCACGUGUAGCAGUGAAAUGCGUAGAUAUGUGGAGGAACACCAAUG